CGUAGAUCAUCUUCAUCAUGUCGUCGUCUUACCUCUUCACAGCUCUGUUUCUUCUCCUAUUCUACUCGAUCUUCGGUUUGCUUUUUACAAGUGAGAAGUACUAUGGCAUGAGUGGAGUCGGAAAAAGGGAUUGUUAAAUUUGAAAUGGCGGGAAGGACCAGAAGAGGAAGAUCUGAGAGAAAUGAGGAGUUGGAGUCAGUAAGAGAAGAACUAUUCCGAGAAGUAAGAAGGGAGUUGAGAGAGACUGUUCAGUCAAUGAGAGGUCAGGACUCUAGGAGAUCAGGAGGUACCCAGGGCCAUGAGGAUUCAGGCCACUCACAUAGGAGGAGCCUCACUGAAAGGCCAGCAAUGAGCCAAAUGGAAGCAAUGAAGAGGUUCAUGGUGAUGCAGCCUCCAUCUUUUAAUGGAGAGUCCAGUACUGAAGCAGCUGAGCAUUGGUUGAGGAGGAUGAGAAGAAUUCUGGUGGGACUGGACAUACCUGAGGAAAGAAGGGUAAGUUUGGCAGCAUAUAUGCUUGUUGAUAAAGCUGAUUUCUGGUGGGAAUCAAUGAAAAGGGUGUAUGACAUUGAGGUUAUGACCUGGGACGAAUUUGAGAGAAUCUUCCUAGGCAAGUAUUUUGGGGAGGUGGCUAAGCAUGCCAAGAGGAUGGAGUUUGAGCACCUCAUCCAAGGAACCAUGUCGGUGCUGGAGUAUGAGUCACGUUUCUCAGAGUUGUCUCGUUUUGCUUUAGGGAUGAUCAGUGAGGAAGGAGAAAAGGCUAGGAGGUUCCAGCAGGGGUUGAGGCUUGCUAUUAGGAACAGAUUAGUCUCACUGGCAAUAAGGGAUUAUUUUGAGUUGGUUAAGAGGGCUUUGUUGGUGGAACAGGAUAUUGAGGAGACCAACCAAAUUCGGGAGCAAAGGGGGGAUAGAAAAGGGAAACAAAGAAUGGGGGAAAGUUCCCAGGGGAGAUCUCAGGGCCCGCAGCAGAGACAGAGGACUCAGCAGUCUGAGAGGCAUUCCUCAUUCUAUGCAGGAGGUAAGCAGAGUGCUCAGAGGGUGGCUGCUAAUAGAGUAUGUUAUGGUUGUAGAGCGGGAGACCACUUAUGGAGGGCUUGCCCAUUGCGGAGUGUACAGUAGGCUCAACCUCAGUCUCAGGGAAGUUCUCAGCAACAGCCAGUAGUGUCUUUCCAGCUCCCUCAGUUUCAAUUGCCUUACUACCAGAUGCCAUAAUUAUCCCCAGCAGCGCAGGGAACCAGGACAACUACUAUGAGUAGUCAUACCCAUUCUUCUCAAGGGUCAAAUGCUAGAGGUAGGGGAAGGCAGGCAGCAGGAAGAGUUUUUGCCUUGACCCCAAUAGAGCCAGAGGAAGACACCCUUUUGGUGGAAGGUAUGAUUUUGGUAUAUAGUACUUGGGUGCGUGUUUUGUUUGAUACUGGUGCAACUUAUUCUUUCAUUUCUGCAUCUUGUGCUAAUGCAUUGGGGUUGAAAACAGAAAGGGUAGAAAAUUUGUUACUUAUUGAGUCCCCUAUGGGUACGAAUUCUAGAGUUGAUAGAAUAUGCAAGGAGUGUGUUAUUACCUUGGCAGAUAGAGCACUAAAUGUGGAUUUGAGGAUUUUGGAUAUGACUGGGUAUGAUGUUAUCUUGGGAAUGGAUUGGUUGACAGUGUAUAAAGCGGUUAUUGAUUGUCAUCGUCGCAGGAUAAUAUUUUGUCUGCCAGAGGGAUUUGAGGUUUGCUUUGUUGGAGGGAAGUGUGUUAGUUUGCCUUUUUCGCAGUCCGAUCCGUGUUAUCAGUAUGUGUUGAGGAAGGGAUCAAUAAAUUUCCUAGCUUGCUUUCGUGGUAAGGAGAAAGCCCAGAAGGACAUUACAGAAAUUCUAGUAGUGAGAAAGUUUCAGGAUGUAUUCCCAGAUGAGUUACCAGGUUUACUACCGCAUAGAGAGUUUGAUUUCUCUAUUGAAGUAUACCCAGGAACUGAUCCUAUUUCAGUAUCCCCUUAUAGGAUGACCCCUCUUGAGUUGAAGGAAUUGAAAACUCAGUUAGAUGAAUUGUUGGGUAAGGGUUUUAUUCGUCCAAGUACGUCGCCAUGGGGAGCCCCAGUGUUGUUUGUGAAGAAGAAGGAUGACACACUAAUCACAUAUGGGGAAUGAAGUUUACUAGUUAGUGUCAUUAUGGAAUAAAUGCAAAUUUCUCCUAUUGUUGUCCGUAUGUGGUACUCCAUGGGUGAAGAUAUUACCAAUUUGGUAUAUCCACCAAUGUAGAAAAUAACAAGUGAAAAAUAGGGUUGCAACUUGGGCGGUUCCAAACACUUGAUAAUAUGAACAGGCGGUGUCGUUGUUUUGGCCGUGGAUUCCUCUUUGGAAUACAUUUGCUCUCAGAAGUGAAGAAUGAUGUAAUAAGAGAACUUGGUUUUGGUGGGCUAUUGUAAUUAGGUUGUAAGGAGGUGAAUUUAGAUUUAUAUUUUUGGUUGAUAAAAAACACAAACAUUGUUUAUUCCCAACUCGAGUUAUUUGGAGGUAAAAAGGUCCCUUUGACAUAUCAUGAUGUCGGGAUCACGAUGGGCAUCCCACAUGGUGGAAGGAAGUUAAUUGUUGACAAGGGAACUGUUAAAGAUAAUCAAAUGUCGAGUUUGAAGGAUAUAGAGUUAAUGAUGGUUGACAUCGAUGAUAUUGAGGAAUUUAAGCGGGUCUUCUUGAUUUUCACGUGUGCAACCUUAUUGUCACCCACAUUUCGUUUGGAAGGUAGUCACUCGUUAUGGUAUACACCAUGAGAGCAGUUACUUGGGAACAUAAAUUGGAGAGAAUUUGUCUUAGAAUUUUCUAUUCAAGCUAUACAUGAACAUAGGAGGAAGGAAAAUGUUUGGAUUAAAGGGUGUUUGAUGUUUCUACAGAUAUUCUACUUUUCAAUAUAUAAUUUUUCAGCCAUGUAUGUGGAACUUACCACUCCUCGCAUUGCUGCAUGGAACGAUUUUUUGGUGAAAUAACGCAUAAAGUUGGAGUUGGAAAUGCUUGGAGGAUUUGGCAAAGUUGAGGUAUAACUAGUUGUUAGUUAUAUUAAGAUAAUUGAUUAACAUUAUAAUUGGAUUAUUGGGAUGACAAUUUACAUGUUUUGUAAUGAUAGUUGGUUAACACAUUAACGGAGCAAGAUCAAACAUAAAGAAAUGAGGCUCUUGCAGUUAAUGGCCUAGUUGACCCAAAUGAGAUUGAAGACUUUAAUGUAAUCCUUCAUACCUAAUGACUAUGAAGAGUAGCUUAUAUUAAAUCUUAGUUUAAAUAUAUGUCAUUUAAUGUUCCUUCA